UUAAUUGACGAAAGGCAAUGCUAACAUACAAAAGAUAGUGGCGUUUGAAAGUGCUUUUGAUCGCAUAUUUGAUGUUAUUGAGCAAGAGGGCAACGCGGAUGGUGGUAUUGUUGUGGAAGAUUGCCCCCUGCUGAUAUUAAAUCUCAGGGGAAACGUCAGUGAUCAAAACUUCUUUAAGGAAGGUAGCUAUAUUCAGAAAUUGACGUCGGUAAUCCAAAUUCUCAAUGAAACGGAGAAUAACAAUCUUGGUGAAUGGAGCCCACAGAAGGUGUCCAAUGUUCACUCCAUGGUGCAAGUUGUACGAGCGCUAGUAGCACCGAGUCCUCCUACUCAGGUAGUCGCAGCUUGUCAACGAACUAUGAGAGCGUGCGGAUUAUUGCAAGCACUGUGCGAUAUAUUGAUGGCUAUCGGAGUUGUAAACUGCCAACUCCCGACUUUACCCCCUCUAUGGCAAAAACAUGAAGAAUACUUGGUCUCUAUUUAUAUAUGUCGUUGCUAUUUCCGAUAUAAUUUAUAACGUUAGCUAAACUUAUUACAAGAUGUAUUUAAUGUCGUUAGUCGUCUUCUCAUUAUUACAGUCUUUGAUUUGCAUCACGGAUUUUGUGUCGUUCUCAUUGUUGUUCGUAUCUAUAGUUUAGCGUAUUAAUAUUUGGUAUAAAGAAAGACUCUUGGAUGAUUGGAUGAGACUGAUUUGAUGAAAAUCUUUGAUAAGAAUGCGUUCAAUUUCUCCUGCCCGUCGUCUGUUAAACAUUUGUAUAGAGAUCAGUGUUAUUUUUGUCAAAAAAAGCCAAGUGCAAUACGAAAAAGAUUGUUGUAAUGCAUUUAACCCGUUUUUUCUUUAAAUAACUAUAAUUUUUUUAUGUCUUCCACUGAUGGCAAAUUGACUUUUUUGUGU